rnacentral:rRNA from 1 species
AACGAACGCUGGCGGCAUGCCUAACACAUGCGAGUCGAACGAGACCUUCGGGUCUAGUGGCGCACGGGUGCGUAACGCGUGGGAACCUGCCCUUAGGUUCGGAAUAACUCCUCGAAAGGGGUGCUAAUACCGGAUAAUGUCUUCGGACCAAAGAUUUAUCGCCUUUGGAUGGGCCCGCGUUGGAUUAGCUAGUUGGUAGGGUAAAAGCCUACCAAGGCGACGAUCCAUAGCUGGUCUGAGAGGAUGAUCAGCCACACUGGGACUGAGACACGGCCCAGACUCCUACGGGAGGCAGCAGUGGGGAAUAUUGGACAAUGGGCGAAAGCCUGAUCCAGCAAUGCCGCGUGAGUGAUGAAGGCCUUAGGGUUGUAAAGCUCUUUUACCCGGGAUGAUAAUGACAGUACCGGGAGAAUAAGCUCCGGCUAACUCCGUG